rnacentral:rRNA from 1 species
CCUACGGGUGGCAGCAGUGAGGAAUAUUGGUCAAUGGGCGGAAGCCUGAACCAGCCAAGUAGCGUGCAGGAUGACGGCCCUACGGGUUGUAAACUGCUUUUAUACGGGAAUAACGCGCCUUACGUGUAGGGCUUUGCAUGUACCGUAUGAAUAAGGACCGGCUAAUUCCGUGCCAGCAGCCGCGGUAAUAGGGAAGGUCCGGGCGUUAUCCGGAUUUAUUGGGGUUAAAGGGAGCGUAGGCCGCAUGUCAAGCGUGCUGUGAAAUGUCCGGGCUCAACCCGGGCCUUGCAGCGCGAACUGGCUUGCUUGAGUCCGCGUAAAGCAGGCGGAAUUCGUGGUGUAGCGGUGAAAUGCUUAGAUAUGACGAAGAACCCCGAUUGCGAAGGCAGCUUGCUGCAGCGGAACUGACGCUGAUGCUCGAAAGCGCGGGUAUCGAACAGUAUUAGAUACCCCUGUAGUC